AUGGGCUGGAGCUGGAACUUGUUUUUCCUGGUAGCAGCAGCUACAGGUGUCCAAUGCGAGAUCCAAUUGCAGCAGUCUGGGUCUCAGCUGGUGAGGCCUGGGUCCUCAGUGAAGGUGUCCUGCAAGGUUUCAGGCUACAACAUCAUCGAGUACUAUAUGAAUUGGCUGAAGCAGAAGCCUGGACAGGGGCUGGAGUGGAUGGGACGUCUCAACCCUAGAACUGGUAGCACAGACUAUGCACAGAAGUUCCAAGGACGGGUCUCCACGACCAGUGAAACAUCCUCCAGCACAGCCUACAUGGAGCUCAGCAGCCUGACAUCUGAGAACUCUGCAGUCUAUUACUCUUCCUCCUAA